GAUGAACGCCCGCUCCUUUCCUAAUACAUUCAAGUCGAGCGAACGGACGAGAAGCUUUCUUCUCUGAUGUUAGCGGCGGACGGGUGAGUAACACGUGGAUAACCUACCUAUAAGACUGGGAUAACUUCGGGAAACCGGAGCUAAUACCGGAUAAUAUUUUGAACCGCAUGGUUCAAAAGUGAAAGACGGUCUUGCUGUCACUUAUAGAUGGAUCCGCGCUGCAUUAGCUAGUUGGUAAGGUAACGGCUUACCAAGGCAACGAUGCAUAGCCGACCUGAGAGGGUGAUAGGCCACCAUGGAACUGAGACACGGUCCAGACUCCUACGGGAGGCAGCAGUAGGGAAUCUUCCGCAAUGGGCGAAAGCCUGACGGAGCAACGCCGCGUGAGUGAUGAAGGUCUUCGGAUCGUAAAACUCUGUUAUUAGGGAAGAACAUAUGUGUAAGUAACUGUGCACAUCUUGACGGUACCUAAUCAGAAAGCCACGGCUAACUACGUG
rnacentral:rRNA from 1 species